GACGAACGUUGGCGGCGUGCUUAGUACAUGCAAGUCCACUGAAGCAGUGGUAGCAAUAUCGCUGUGGAGGUGGCGCACGGGUGAGUAACACGUAGGUAAUCUGCCUUCAGGUCUGGCAUAACUCCGGGAAACCGGGGCUAAUAGCAGAUGAUGCAGCGGCUCGACAUCGAGACAGUUGCUAAAGCUAUGGCGCCUGAAGAUGAGCCUGCGUCUGAUUAGCUAGUUGGCGGGGUAACGGCCCACCAAGGCAACGAUCAGUAGCUGGUCUGAGAGGAUGAUCAGCCACACUGGAACUGAGACACGGUCCAGACUCCUACGGGAGGCAGCAGUAAGGAAUAUUGCUCAAUGGGAGAAAUCCUGAAGCAGCAACGCCGCGUGAGGGACGAAGGGCUUUUGCUUGUAAACCUCUGUAGUGAGAGAAAAAAAUCCCAAUCUUUGGGACAUGAUGGUAUCUCAAAAGUAAGCCCCGGCUAACUACGUG
rnacentral:rRNA from 1 species